UCCUUUAAACCAUAAUUGCUAAUUUAGGUCACUCAGCUGUAUGGUUUCUGAGAGUUGCAUUCCUAGGAAAAUAAUUCUGCCUGGGGAUGUUUAGAAGCCAGGAUGUCAAGGAUGGUGCUGAGGAUUGAGUGGUGUUAGCAGUAAGUUUACAUCCGUUAUCUCCUUUCUGUGAGCUGUAAGGAAGCUGAGAUCCGGGCUGUAGUACCUCCUCACCUCAUAGGGAGGAUGGAAGCAAAAGAGACCAGGAGGAUAAGAUAUAAACCAUCUUUUUGGCUCUGAUCUUUCCCUCUGAAGACAUGUGCUUCCUGUGCAAAACACUGUGGGCCCAGCCUAGGUGCUGAGGUUUCAGGCUUUGGGGAGCUGCUUGCCUUUGUAUUAAGGAUGUCACAGAACAUUUGCUGCUAUUCAGAGGAAACAUGCAGCUGAGCUCUGCAGUAAAUGGAAGUUGACUGGCCAAGAUACUCUGCUGAUCACAUAACUGGCUGUACUUUCAGACUACCAUGGUGUCACAACUGCUUGAUAAUGGUGAAAUCUCACAAUGUUAAGUUAUAGUCUCAGUACAGUGAAGUAUUCAGUUGUGCCUGCAGUUUCCAGAGGAGCACACAGCUAAGGAAGAGGAAGACCUGUGAAGAUGACAAGCUGUGGGAAGUCCAAGUGUUCAGGAAAAGAGAAUAUGGGCCUGGAAUUUCCUUACGAUCUCCUCAUUGAGAAUGCCAACUGGGAGGGCUUGCAGAGGAGGAUCCUGACUAUGGUGCAAAGAGUCAGUUUGGACAAGGAAACGAGAGAGGGCUUAAGAAUAUAUAAUUCUGAGAGCUUUCCUGGCAAAUAAUUAAGUAGGCUAGUUUUACCACUGAUAGAAAUAGCUUCCCAUUGAUUUAGGAGGCUAAACCUCCAAUAAUACACUGAGAACAUAGUCCAUUUUCCCUGAUACUCUUCUAGAGAUGGUUGCAGGGAAGGACUCCAAAGCUUUAGUAGAGGCUACCAAACCUUGACAGGACAGCAGAAAGGAGGUCCUGAAAUAUGGACUUUCUGGGAACAGCCAAUUUGCUUUGUGCGUCUAGAAUAUUAUUUUUAGUUGGAAAAUGGGAAGGCAUAUUUGAAGACAGUCUAAAGCCGGGAAAAAUAUAGCUAUCAUUUAUUUGUCAGGAAAAAACCAGGAAAUUUCUAUUUUUAUUCUUAGGCAAUCUUUUCACUUUCCUUCUUUUAAAAUACAAUGACAGUCAAUGAUUAAUAGACGCAGUCCACAGUGCUGCCAGCGAGAAGCCAACCUAAGUGUAGGGAAAGCUUAAAUAAUUGAAGGGAAAAAAAUGACAGAGGCAACCAUUAGUUCCUCUUGACAAGAAAAGCUUCAUAUGCUGGCUAUUUGCCCAAAUAAAAGGGAAAAUUUACCAUUAGAGUAGUGCAAUCUGUAGAUUUUGUGAUGGACUUCCCUUGGGGGCAAAAGAAAUGACAGGGCUCAGUGUUUCAAAAUUUAUAGAAAAUGAUGCAAAAACCUCCUCAUUUUUAGUUGCAUUACAGCACUUACAGCACAGCCAGCUUGUCAGAAGUAACUGGGCAGGAUUCCAGAAACAAAACUCCCUGUAGGAGCAUGAAUCAUGUAGCAGUGGCUAGUUGCCUUCAGAGGGUGGCUCUACUCCAUGGACAUCCUAGUGAUCAUGAGAGACUUCACAUACUUGUAAAAUGGUCAGCAAUUUUUUAGCUGAGCAAAUCAGAUUGGCAAACGUUGGGUAGAAAACAAACUCCAGUCUCCUCAGAGAGGACAAUGGAAAACAAGUAUUCAAAAUAAAUAAACAUUUUUCCAAGAGCAAGUUCUAGUUUAUUAACUGAACUGUCUAUUCUGGAGUUCUGUGUUGUGAAACAAUAUCCUCCACUAAUAACCACAUUCUCAUCAGGGGAAUAAGAGAGGAUCCUUUCCUAUGAACUGCAGACUACUGUUUCAUAUGACACGUCUCUUAAUGUUGUUUCCUUUAAUUUCUAUGCAAAACAAGUACCAGAGGACAGGUUGUCCUGAAAAAUCUGAUAAGACUGACUUGUCUUCCAUUGCAGAAGUUUCCUAGAGCCUAAUUAGUCCUUUUGCACAGGCAGUAACAAUAAGGCAAUUGUUAAAUGGUGGUGUUUAUGUGAUUAUGUAAAAUGAGAUGGUGAUGAAAGAAGAAGCCAAACACUUGGUUACAUGUGGUUGUUAGAACUUACAGAAGUGACCAUGAAAGGACAGAGGGCUCAUGAUUUUCUCCCACAUCUACAGCCAUAACAAAACUCACACUGCUCAUCACUGGAACCAGCUUGGAGCCAAUGAACCGCACAAACUAUUUCUGGGAUGUUUGGAUAUUGAGCUGUGUUUGCUAAGUUUAGGGCUCUUCACAUGGCCGUGGCUGUACUACAUACUAGGUUUGGCUGUACAAGAAGAGCAUCAUAUUGCAACACAAAAUUCUGAGUUGGAGCAUAAUUGGAAUUUGAGCUGAAUAUAAACUUUCAUGUAGAAAUGAAAAACAGCUUAGAACAAGUCUUUUAGGUUGCUUUUGACUCUUGGCAGGCACAAUAUUAAAUAACAAUGACUGCUGAUUAGGGAGCAGAGAAAGAUGGAAGUGGUAACUACAUCCAGCCCUUGAUAACAUCACAUCUUGGACAAUGAUAUCUAAAGCUUUUAGAUGAUGAGAGUAAUGGCUAUAAUGCGGGCAAUGAAAGAGCAGCAUGUUGACUACCAUCGCCUAGCAAAACUUUUUCUGCUGUGGCAUUCUGGAAAAAACCGUGGUGGCAUACAUAUAUAGGGAGUAAUCAUUCAGCAAAGUAAAUUUGAGUGUGUACACUGUGGCAGCACUUCUUGAGUUUGUGCCUGCUAAUAAUCCUGUCCUUUUGAUAAGGUCUUGGUGUGAGUUUUAGGAUGCUGCUUACACUAAGUGAUGGUUUCUGUGUAACUUUAAUGAGAAGGGGCUGGUAUUGCUCAGUUUUGUUUCAACUUACUGCUUUUGAAGGACUGUGUAGUAUCUGUCUAAUGAGACCCAGCUGUGCCGGCCAGGUGGAUGGCUGCCAACACCCUGAUCACAGAGGUAACUGUUAAACACUGGAAAGAUUUCAGAAAAAGUUUUUUUUUGCAAAUAUAUACUUCACCAUAAUUCAAAGGAUCUCCCUAAGAAAAUUAUCUUCCUCUAAUAUUUUUCAUUGUGUCUGUCCUUUACAGGUGGCAGCAAGCUGGCACCUUUUGAUAUUGAGAUUCUCAUUCUUAAGCCAUUUAAUUAAGCAGAAGGUGGCUGCUGUCAGAUACCGAAGCAGUGCCUAAGGAAAGGGCCCAAGGGGUGUUUUAUGAGAGGUUACAAAGAGGGGAAGGACUCCUGCCAGAGAGCACUUUGAGGAUGAAGGAAGUACCAGAAACAAGGUUCAAUCUAAGGCUACCCAGGUACUGAAGAGGGUGUACCUUUGGUCCUCACAAAGGGUAUUUUCCCGAGCUGCCAUAACUUCUAGUUGCCUGCUGUGAGAAACUGAUACCAGCCAGUUCAAUUAAGUUGAUGAAAACUCUGAGUUAGAGGAACCUGUUGACCUCUCAGAAGCAACCAGUACCUCCCAAACUCUAAUCAGCUGGUUCCAGAUGGAACAAGUUCAUGCACUGGAGCAAGUUUUUUGGAGAAGGUGGUUGUACUAAAACUACAUACGUACCCUGCUUGCUACUCUGUAAAAGUGCCCCAAAUAUAUCAGUGUUUAGAGCAGAUACCUACUGAGUAGUUAUAGCCUGCCUGUGUAGAGAAAAAGUUAUUCAGACCUUUUACAGAAAGUAUGUUAUUCUUGUCAAGAAGUUAUGAAAUAAGAUGGGAAAGAUUUAUUAAUUACCUGGAGGGAAAGUCACAAAUAUGCUGCAUGAAGAUCAAGCUGUAAGUUUGAACUUAGUUUUCAUUCACUGUGUCAUGUUUUUCACUGUGUGUUUGGAUGACUCCAAGUCCAGUGUGCAGGUAGUACCAUGUGCUCCAGUAGAUACAUAUUAAUUUGGAAUUGUGGCAUAAAAUCAUAGAUUAUCCCAAGUUGGAAAGGUUAUGCAAGGAUCAUCAAGUUCAACUCCUGAAUCUGCACAGGACCACCCAAAAAUCAGACCAUGUAUCUGAGAAUAUUGUCCAGAUGCUUCUUGUACUCUGGCAGCUCAGUGCCAUGACAACUUCCCUGGUAUCCAAUCUGACCCUUCCCUGUCAAAGCUUCAUGUCAUUCCCUUGGGUUCUAUUGCUGGACACCAGAGAGUAGAUCAGUGCCUGCCUCUCUGCUCCCUCUCAUGAGGAAGCCGUAACCUUAUCAGCCCACCAAUCAGCUAUCCCGUUUGGCCCCAUCUUCAAAGUGGUGUUUGAAUACUGAGGCCUAUACCACUGAUGCAGACAAGUUAAUUGCCUGUAUCUUGUAAUGGUCUGUUGAUGUUUAACAGAUAAAGUGACCCUUAUGCUGAAGAUGGAGCUUGCAGCUAUUCUGUUUUUAUUCCAUUGCAAUUGAUAUGCAAGGAAAGAAAAUAAAUAUAACCUACCUAUAUGGCAGUACUCUUGAUGCAUGCCCAGGUAGUUCACUGACCCACAACUAUGCUGGCUGAAGUAGAAGGUCAGAUCUGAUGUUGUAAGGGUUAAAGAGUAAGGUUUGCUAAGUUCGCACCUACUGGUGAGUUCAGCUGCAGCUGUUAGCAAUACUGAAUAAAUGGACUCCAUUGGUGAUUAAUUGAACUUCCAGAUUAAUUGAACACCCUUGUGUUGGCUCAAGGAUUGAUGGGCAUGGGGUAGAAAUGCAUGGUCAUGUGAUUUUUCCUUAGUUCAUGGUCAGCAGCCAGUUCUGGGGAAGAUUGCAUGAUACUAGUGAAAGUGUGUUUCUUGAACUUGUAUUGGAAUAAGUUCUGCAUGUAACAGGCCUGACUGAGUCAUCUACAAAUAAUAUGAAAAUGCUUGCUAAGGGUUUUACUCAAUCUGUAGAGAUAAUUCAUGCUCUGUAGUCCAGAAAUUUAACAAGCUACAAGAGCAUUUAAUUUUUCUAAGAAUGUCUUUCCUGAUAUAAUGUAAAAGUUUUCAUGUUGAAGCUCAAGCUCUUUUUUUUCUGUAUUUGAAAUCAGUUUUGAGUGCCAAUUUUGUUUAAAAGUCAGAAAGCUCUUCAGAAGAUAGCUAACUCACCAACAUUUUUUCUAUUGUUAAGCUAAAUCAUAUUCUGCAGACUUUCUGUGAAUAAUUAACUCCAGAACUUACUGUGCUGCUUAAAUGAGGCCCAUACUAGUGCAAAUAAUUUUGCUUUCUAUGAGCAGACUAAUUCAUUUUCUAUGCUGUGACACAUACUUAUAGAGGAAAUCAUUCUUCAAUGUCAUUUUAGCAACAAUGUUUUGUAUGUCCAUAUACCUCUUCUGAGAUGGAGCUGGUAAUCCAUUGCAUUAAAGAUUUAAAUACUUCUUUGAUGCUAAAACAUUUUUCUUAAUUCCAUAAAUAUCUGGCACUUGUUCUAAAUUGAAGUGAGAUGUACUGUUUAAUAUGACAUAGCGAGUUCUGAACUCACAGCCAAUGAGCAAUGUCAAACCCUGACUUUUUCCAAGCAAUUAAUUUGAUAAAUGUUCUUUAAUGCAAUGUGUAGGCCUAUUAAAAUACCUGUCAACACUGCAGAGGCCCAGCAUAAGUUUUUCAUUUCUAUAGAUUGGCCUUUCAGAGAUAAUGGAUAACUUCUAAGAUUUUAUUUCGGAAACUUCUAGCAGAGCUAAUCCCAGCAAAACAUUGAACACAGUGCUAUGUAGUUCUAGAACUUAUCUGAGCAUUUAUCCCAUUUCUGUCUUGUCCCAAAUCCCCAACUACACUGACCUCUGCAAGGGCUGAAUCUUUAGGAUUAUCUGAAAGGGGAUUAAAGAUAAACCAGCAGCUGAAUUUCCACUUAGCCAACACGUAGCACUCAACCAACCUUCUUUUGAGAGGUUCUCUUUAAUUUCGGUGAAUGCUGAAGUAUCUCAUAUCUUUCUCUUUCCAAAAGUAGACUAAGCCUUGUUCUUCUCCAUUACUCCAUUAUCCUGAAGUAAGGGGAAGAUUAUCGGAAAACUUCUUUCAGAUUUCUUGGGAUGUGAUUUGUCCAGUCACCAGAGGGUACUCAUGUCUCAAGCCUCUUAAUAUUAAAUAUGAUGUCAACAGAAGCAGUAUCAUUGUGGUAAUUGUAUUUACAUACUAAUGAAUGCACAAUGCUCUUGCUUCAUGGUAAAAUUGAAGCUACAUUUUAAUUUAAUUUGAUCUGCAUGGUAUUGGUCAGAGGAAUAAAUAUAUCAGCUCUUCAUCAAACAGAAAUGUAGCAGAAAUGAGUUUAAUGGCAUUUGAAUGCACUGAUUUUGUAUUUAUAUGAUUUUACCUGGAUCAGAAAUACAUGGAUUAUGUUACUGUCUAACUGCUGUGCUGUGUAAGGUGUAAGGACAAAUUGGAUUAAGGUAAUGUAUGUAAAAUACAAGACAAAUGUUAUUUCAAAUACAGGCUGAUAUUUAUUGAGACAUUGCAGAGUCACCAUUAGAUUUAAUUCAAUAUAAAGGACGUUAUAGAAGCAGCAGCAGCAGCAGCAAAUUUUGCAGUGCUGCAAUUGCUGCUUUGGGGAUUUUGUCAAUGUUAUGAAACUUUUAGGAAAUCUUCAGAGCUUUUGCCAAGGAAAAGAAAAUACUGGAGCUCUCAACUUAUGGUGCUUAAAAGAUCAAAACAAAUAGGAAUUGGCAACUUUUUACAAAGUAAUCUUGUACUUCAGCUGAAAAGAGUGCUAAUAUAUUUCAGCAUGUGCUAAGCAUGAUAUAUAUAAGUAAUGUUGGCUUGUAAUCUAUUAUAUGUUAGGUAGUAUGGAGAACAAAUUGAAGGGGAGUUUACCAGUGACUUCCUGCUAAACAUUAGAUCAGAUAAAGAGAAUAUUUCAGAUGUAUCCAUUUGACAUGCUAUGAAUACAAAACCUAUGGGGGCUGUUUUAAUGUUAUUCAGUGUAUCAUCUGUUUAGAAUACAAGACAUCAUCUCAACAAGUAUUACCAUCUGUCAGUUCUAGGUACGCUUCCAUAUGGAGAUUCAUGAAGCUCAUACCUUCUGGAAAUACUGUAACCUUGGCCUUCUGGAAGUUUCUAAAUAAGUUUUUUCUUUUU